rnacentral:rRNA from 1 species
UACGUAGGGGGCAAGCGUUGUCCGGAUUUAUUGGGCGUAAAGAGCGUGUAGGCGGCUAGGUAGGUCCGUUGUGAAAACUCGAGGCUCAACCUCGAGACGCCGGUGGAAACCAUCUAGCUAGAGUCCGGAAGAGGAGAGUGGAAUUCCUGGUGUAGCGGUGAAAUGCGCAGAUAUCAGGAGGAACACCAAUGGCGAAGGCAGCUCGCUGGGACGGUACUGACGCUGAGACGCGAAAGCGUGGGGAGCAAACAGG